rnacentral:rRNA from 1 species
GACGAACGCUGGCGGCGUGCUUAACACAUGCAAGUCGAACGGAAAGGCCCCUUCGGGGGUACUCGAGUGGCGAACAGGUGAGUAACACGUGAGUAACCUGCCCUUGACUUCGGGAUAACUUCGGGAAACUGGGGCUAAUACCGGAUAGGAAUCCUUGCCGCAUGGUGGGGGUUGGAAAGCUUCGGCGGUUUUGGAUGGACUCGCGGCUUAUCAGCUUGUUGGUGGGGUAGUGGCUUACCAAGGCUUUGACGGGUAGCCGGCCUGAGAGGGCGACCGGCCACAUUGGGACUGAGAUACGGCCCAGACUCCUACGGGAGGCAGCAGUGGGGAAUAUUGCACAAUGGGCGGAAGCCUGAUGCAGCAACGCCGCGUGCGGGAUGACGGCCUUCGGGUUGUAAACCGCUUUCAGCAGGGGCGAAGCUUGUGGUGACGGUACCUGCAGAAGAAGCACCGGCUAACUACGUG